rnacentral:rRNA from 1 species
AUUGAACGCUGGCGGCAGGCCUAACCCAUGCAAGUCGAGCGAGAGGCGGACGGGUGAGUAAUAUGUGGGAAACUGCCUGAUGGAUGGGGAUAACUACUGGAAACGGGGGCUAAUACCGCAUACCGUCAAAUGUGACCAGAGGGGCGUAGCUAGUCGGUGGGGUAAAGGCUCACCUGGGCGACGAUCCCUAGCUGGUCUGAGAGGAUGACCAGCCAAACUGGAACUGAGACACGGGCCAGACUCCUACGGGAGGCAGCAGUGGGGAAUAUUGGACAAUGGGCGCAAGCCUGAUGCAGCAAUGCCGCGUGUGUGAAGAAGGCCUUCGGGUUGUAAAGCACUUUCAGCGGGGAGGCGUUACCCGCAGAAGAAGCACCGGCUAACUACGUGCCAGCAGCCGCGGUAAUAC